rnacentral:lncRNA from 1 species
UAAAUUAUUUUUUAAAAUUUGUUAAAAAAACAACGCAACAACCAAUAAACAAAAGAAUCAUUCUAAUAAACAAUAUUGGUUUUUAAUCGGGUCUUUCAAACUAUGUUUCUCUCUGAUUUUGCUAUGUUUUCAGGAAAAUAAUCCUUCAAAAUCUGCUUAGAUUGAACAAUAGCAAAACGGAGUUGAAUCUUGUGCGAAUCAACUUGAUAGAUCAACAGCGUUUUUUGAUUGUCAGGAGAAGAAUUUUGUUUGGAUAGGCCGAGUAUGAAAUUUUCUUUUGAACAUUAUCUUCCCUUUUCCCACAAGAAUAAACGAAAUAGAUAUAUACAUAUUAAUACAUUGAAACGUAAAAACCCAACAAAUUAAACAAAAAGAAAAUUGUACAAAAAACGAAAACAAAUGUAGAAUGUAUUUGACAUGUUUUUAAUAUAUGUAAAUGUAUCAAAUGUAGAUAACUAAAAUGUAACUUAUUCAACCAAAGGAAGGAAACACCCAUUAAGGGCUGUCCUUUCUAUACCCAUUGGAACUGAUCAUUCACACAGGGAAAACUACAGCUUACAUUCUUGUGAUUGACACUUCUUAGAUUGUAUGUAGUUGUAGGCUGCUGCAGAGCCUGGAGAUCGGGCCCGGACCGCACCUUGAGGUCUUUCCCGAUAAAAAGGUAAAACUACCAGCCACAACAGGCCACAGGAUGAAAAUAGUAAUUAUAAACGGAUCGCCACUCGCACAGAAUACACAAGGACAGCGCAACAACAGACAAGAGCUUGAUACCACCACUCACACUGAAUACACAAGGAGACCCUCACGACAGACUAGAGCUUGUUACCACCGCUUAAACAUAAUACACAGGGAGAGCGCCACGACAGACUAGAGCUUGAUACCACCACCUACCCAGAAUACACAAGGACAGCGCCACGACAGACUAGAGCUUGAUCCCACCGCUUAAACAGAAUACACAAGCAAAGCGCCACGACAGACUAGAGCUUGAUCCCACCACCUACACAGAAUACACAAGUACAUCGCCACGACAGACUAGAGCUUGAUACCCCCACCUACACAGAAUACACAAGGAGAGCGCCGCGACAGACUAGAGCUUGAUACCACCACUCUCACAGAAUACACAAGGAGAGCGCCGCGACAGACUAGAGCUUGAUACCACCACUAACACAGAAUACACAAGUACACCGCCACGACAGACUAGAGCUUGAUACCACCACCCACACAGAAUACACAAGGAGGGCGUAACGACACACUAGAGCUUGAUACCACCACUCACACAGAAUACACAAGGACCCCGCCACGACAGACUAGAGCUUGAUACCCCCACCUACACAGAAUACACAAGGACAGCGCCACGACAGACUAGAGCUUGAUGCCACCACCUACACAGAAUACACAAGUACAUCGCCACGACAGACUAGAGCUUGGUACUACCACUCACACAGAAUACACAAGGACCCCGCCACGACAGACUAGAGCUUGAUACCCCCACCUACACAGAAUACACAAGGACAGCGCCACGACAGACUAGAGCUUGAUACCACCGCUCAAACAGAAUACACAAGGAAAGCGCCACGACAGACUAGGGCUUGAUACCACAGCUUAAACAGAAUACACAAGGAGGGCGUAACGACAGACUAGAGCUUGAUACCACCACUCACACAGAAUACACUAGUGUUUUAGUACAUUACAACACGUGUCCUGAAUACUUGGUAUCUACAGCAUCUGUAUCUGCACACCAAAAUGCUGCUGAAUUUGUAACUUGUGAAGGAGGAAUAUUCCAAUUCGUUUAGAGGACAUUUACUAUAACUGUGCCAGCAAGAUAGCAGAAACCAAGUGACUAAAGAACAUUUUAAUUGUAAAUUUUAAACAACCGAAACUCAUGUUUCUAUUCACUGACUGAAGAGAGUAGUACUUUUUAUAUUUAGAUUUGGCCAAGUGAUUGUCAAAAAUAACUACGUAUUUGCCAACAGCAUGUAUUUUUCCAAGUCGUUUCCAAGUUAUAAUAGCUAGUAAUCCUGUACAAAUUUAGACCUUUCAUGUUUAAUAACUACUGAGCAAUUUUGAUAGAAUAUCAUGUAGUGAGAAUCAGACGCCAUACCUCAAGAUGUUUUCUUAUUAUAGGCAUUGAGAUAAGGGAAUUUAUCCUUUUAAUGGUUGAAGCGGUUUGCUUUGUUAAUAUAUAAUUGAGGGCACGAUCAGAGGUGAGACAACACUGCCAGCUGGUCAGAGCCUUAGGAAAAACCUACCUCCCUCCUCCUAAAUGGGGGUAGGGUUGGGUAGCCUGCUCUCCAGCAUAUUCUGAUCUAUCUUAGGUGGCAAAAA